ncrna:unclassified sequences Glutamine-II riboswitch (downstream peptide RNA)
AAACGUUCAACUCGCGAAGGCGAGCCGCAAGUCGACUUGAGCCAUGGAACGGGGACUUAAG